GAUGAAGAACGUAGCGAAAUGCGAUAAGUAAUGCGAAUUGCAGAAUUCCCGUGAGUCAUCGAAUCUUUGAACGCACAUUGCGCCCACUGGUAUUCCGGUGGGCAUGCCUGUUCGAGCGUCAUUAUCCUCCCUCAAACCCCGGGUUUGGUGUUGGACCCAAGUUGUGUGAACAACUGGUCUCAAAGACAAUGACGGCGUCCGUGGGACCCUCGGUGCAACGAGCUUUUAGGAGCACGCAUCGAGUUGCAAGGACCUUCCGGGCCGGUCUCCUUUACCAUUUUACAAGGUUGACCUCGGAUCAGGUAGGAAUACCCGCUGAACUUAAGCAUAUCAAUAAGCGGAGGA
rnacentral:misc_RNA from 1 species